UCUACGGGUGGCAGCAGUGGGGGAUAUUGCACAAUGGGGGAAACCCUGAUGCAGCGACGCCGCGUGGGUGAAGAAGCGCCUCGGCGCGUAAAGCCCUGUCAGCAGGGAAGAAAAAGACGGUACCUGAAGAAGAAGCCCCGGCCAACCACGUGCCAGCAGCCGCGGUAAGACGUAGGGGGUAAGCGUUACCCGGAUUUCCGGGGUGUAAAGGGGGCGCAGACGGCGAUGCAAGCCAGGAGGGAAAGCCCGGGGCCCAACCCCGGGACUGCGCUUGGAACUGCGUGGCGUGAGUGCAGGAGGGGCAGGCGGAAGUCCUGGUGUAGCGGUGAAAUGCGUAGAUAUCAGGAGGAACACCGGUGGCGAAGGCGGCCUGCUGGACUGCAACUGACGUUGAGGCCCGAAAGCGUGGGGAGCGAACAGGAUUAGAUACCCCAGUAGUC
rnacentral:rRNA from 1 species